rnacentral:rRNA from 1 species
ACCUGUAAGCUACGGCUUAUGGGGGUUGAGGACUGACGGAAUUAAGGCCAGGCUUAGCUGAACUACCUGGGAAGGUAGGCGAUAGAAGGUAAGAGCCCUGUAAGCGAAAGGCAGAGCCUUAAGGUCAGUAUCCAGAGUACCACGGAGCACGAGGAAUUCUGUGGGAAGCAGGGGGGACCACCCUCCAAGGCUAAAGACUAACUGGCGACCGAUAGCGCAUAGUACCGUGAGAGAAAGGUGAAAAGAACCCCGGGAGGGGAGUGAAAUAGUACCUGAAACCGUAUGUCUACAAGCAGUCGGAGCGAAAGCGACGGCGUGCCUAUUGAAGAAUGAACCAACGAGUUAUCUGCACUAGCGAGGUUAAGUGGAAGACACGGAGCCGUAGCGAAAGCGAGUCUGAAAAGGGCGGCGAGUUAGUGUAGGUAGACCCGAAACCGCAGUGAUCUACCCAUGUCCAGGUUGAAGCGCAGGUAAAAAUGCGUGGAGGACCGAACCGGUGAGCGUUGAAAAGCUUUCGGAUGAGAUGUGGGUAGGGGUGAAAUUCCAAUCGAACGCGGAGAUAGCUGGUUCUCCCCGAAAUAGCUUUAGGGCUAGCCUCAGGUAGUAAGUAUAGGCGGUAGAGCACUGAUCGGGCUAGGGGCCAUAAAGGUUACCGAACCCUGUCAAACUCCGAAUGGAUAUACUGCAGAGCCUGGGAGUCAGACUACGAGUGAUAAGAUCCGUGGUCAAAAGGGAAACAGCCCAGACCACCGGCUAAGGUCCCAAAUGCCGUACUAAGUGGAAAAGGAUGUGGGGAUUCAUAAACAACCAGGAUGUUGGCUCAGAAGCAGCCACCAUUUAAAGAGUGCGUAAUAGCUCACUGGUCGAGAGUCCCUGCGCCGAAAAUUUCCGGGGCUAAAGUACGGAACCGAAGCCGUGGCUGUGUACGUAAGUGCACGGGGUAGGGGAGCGUUGCCACAGGGGUGAAGCUGGUCUGGAAGGACUGGUGGACUUGUGGGAAGUGAGAAUGUUGGUAUGAGUAGCGAAAAGAAAGGUGAGAAUCCUUUCCACCGAAAGCAUAAGGAUUCCUGAGCAACGAUCGUCGUCUCAGGGUAAGUCGGGACCUAAUCCGAGGCAAAGAGCGUAGGAGAUGGACAACAGGUUGAUAUUCCUGUACCGGCAGCAAUUGUUUGAGCGAAGGAGUGACACAGAAGGGCAGGCAGGCGCGAGACUGGAUUGUCGCGUGCAAGCGUGUAGGGUAGUGUACAGGCAAAUCCGUACACUGAGAGCCUAAGGCGUUACGCGGAGCGAGCAGAGAUGCGAGCGAAGCUGCUGAUCCCACACUGUCGAGAAAAGCUUCUAGUGAGAGAGCUGCCGCCCGUACCGUAAACCGACACAGGUAUGCGGGGAGAGAAUCCUAAGGUGCGCGGGAGAACCCUCGUUAAGGAACUCGGCAAAAUGUACCCGUAACUUCGGGAUAAGGGUAACCGUCUUGGUGAAGGAGCUUGCCUCUGGAGCUAAAGGCGGUCGCAGAGAAGAGGCCCAAGCGACUGUUUACCACAAACACAGGUGCCUGCUAAAGCGAAAGCUGACGUAUAGGUGCUGACACCUGCCCAGUGCUGGAAGGUUAAGGAAGGAUGUCCGGGCAACCAAAGCAUUCGACCGAAGCCCCAGUGAACGGCGGCCGUAACUAUAACGGUCCUAAGGUAGCGAAAUUCCUUGUCAGGUAAGUUCUGACCCGCAUGAAAGGUGUAACGAUUUGGGCACUGUCUCAACGAGGGACCCGGUGAAAUUGAAAUACCUGUGAAGAUGCAGGUUACCCGCGACUGGACAGAAAGACCCCAUGGAGCUUUACUGUAACCUGACAUUGGGUUUUGUUGUAUUACGUACAGGAUAGGUGGGAGGCUUGGAAGGCUGGACGCUAGUCUGGCUGGAGCCGGCGUUGGGAUACCACCCUUGAUACAACGGAAUUCUAACCGAGAGAGUAACGAAAUCCGGGACAGUGUCAGGCGGGCAGUUUGACUGGGGCGGUCGCCUCCGAAAGAGUAACGG